CGUUGCUACACAAGCUAUUUUUCAAGCUAUUUGGUUAUGUUAGCUGCUAACGUUAGCUGCUAACUUGCAUACUGUAGGCCAACUGGCUAACUUAGGAUAACACAUAAGUAAACUCAUUGUAGAAGUGUUUUUAAUCAGAUACUGUAUUCUAUGACGUCUGUUGUGGUUAGAAAGUGCUUUAACGGGAUGUGUUUUCAGCAAACGUUAGGUAGGUAGAAGCUAGCUAGUUAGCGUUAACGUUAGCUUGCCACUUCGCUGGCCAUUGCAGGGAGUCAUAGCAGAGGUGAAGUUCGGCACUUCUUUUGAAUCUGAGGGACUAGAGGCAAUGUUCAGCCCCACUCAUAUUCCAGAUCCUGCCCAGUUUACAGCUGCAACACAGGACUGUUACAGUGACCUCCACACCACCCUCUUCCAGAGCUCCUUCAGAAGACUAACGAUAGUAAGAUAUUUUACAUGUAAUGUAUGUUAUCAUUUCAUAGUGACAACUGUUAAUUGGCAGAAGGAAGCCAAAUAUGAAGGGCUGGGCUCUCCUGAACGUAAGCUAUUUAGCAUGCAGAUGGAGAACACACUGACACAGGCACACACACACAAAAUACACAGCACAGUCCUAUUCAAAAUGGAGAAUGACAAAAAUUACAGAAAAAGUUUGAGAACCACAGGUGUGGGGUCACUCGUUUAGCUCUGUUAGUUGGACCUGGGUGAUGCUGUUAUUUGUGUAACGGGCCCUUUUUCUGUAUUUCCUAGUGGCACAAGAUGA